GGCGGUGUAGCUCAGGUGGUCAGAGCACACGGUUCAUACCCGUGGCGUCACUGGUUCGAAUCCAGUCACCGCUA
rnacentral:tRNA from 1 species